GACGAACGCUGGCGGCGUGCUUAACACAUGCAAGUCGAACGGAAAGGCCCUGCUUUUGUGGGGUGCUCGAGUGGCGAACGGGUGAGUAACACGUGAGUAACCUGCCCUUGACUUUGGGAUAACUUCAGGAAACUGGGGCUAAUACCGGAUAGGAGCUCCUGCUGCAUGGUGGGGGUUGGAAAGUUUCGGCGGUUGGGGAUGGACUCGCGGCUUAUCAGCUUGUUGGUGGGGUAGUUGCUUACCAAGGCUUUGACGGGUAGCCGGCCCGAGAGGGUGACCGGCAGCAAUAGGACUAAGAUACGGCCCAGACUACUACGGGGGACAGCAGUGGGGAAUAUUGUCCAGUGGGAGCAAGCGUGAUGCAGAAGCGCCGCGUGCGGGAUGACGGCCUUCGGGUUAUAAACAGCUUUCGCCUGUGACGCAGCGUGAGUGACGGUAAUGGGUAAAGAAGCACCGGCUAACUACGUG
rnacentral:rRNA from 1 species